CAGUCGCCGCGGGAAUACGAAGGGUGCAAGCGUUACUCGGAAUUACUGGGCGUAAAGCGUGCGUAGGUGGUGGUUUAAGUCCGUUGUGAAAGCCCUGGGCUCAACCUGGGAAUUGCAGUGGAUACUGGGUCACUAGAGUGUGGUAGAGGAUAGUGGAAUUUCCGGUGUAGCGGUGAAAUGCGUAGAGAUCUGGAGGAAUACCGGUGGCGAAGGCGGCCCCCUGGACAAAGACUGACGCUCAGGUGCGAAAGCGUGGGGAGCAAACAGGAUUAGAUACCCGCGUAGUCCCUGUCUCUUAUAC
rnacentral:rRNA from 1 species